GGAUCUCUGGAACAGGCACCGCACCCCAUUGUGAUGUCCAGACGCCAGCUGGGUUUCCAGGGGCAACGGGGCUGCCCCAGUUCUGAGCCCAGGGGACCCCAGGAGGCAGAUGUGCUCUGGGGCGUGAGAUCCGUUAAGUCCGCCUCAGGAAAGCUGCAUCCUCCAUAUACUGAAACCACACCGGCAUUAGGACACUCCACUCAGCCUCUGGAAACACCCACCACUGCCUUCUCCUGGAAAGCACCUGCUCUAGUCCCUGGAGACUCGUAUUAGGGCAGAAUCCAACAGAAGAAUUCCGUGGUCAGCAGAGAAAGCCCCAUCUCAGCAUCCAUGGAGCAGGUGCAUCUGAGCACAAGCCUGGUGGACCAGACUACAAGCCUAAGACGAGGGCACAGGAAGCCUGGGUAUUACCCACAAACACUCCAUCCAGUUCUCCCAUGGCCUGCCUUGAGGUCUACCAAGCAUUUAAAAGUCACCUUACC